rnacentral:lncRNA from 1 species
GCUCGCCGCUGCUUUGCAUCCGGCCCGCCCGCGGCGCGGGGAUCGGACGCCGCUGCUCGGAUGAAUUUCCCACCCGUGAGCGCUGAUACGGUUAUCUCUGCUCUGCAGACGGAGAGUCCGAAGCACUGAGGAUAAGUGACUUGUCCAAGGUGACUUCGCAGCCGAGUCCGGGAGAGGACUCUGAAGUCCUGCCUCCAGCCCCCUGCCCUGCCUGCAUCGGUCGCUAACAUCACCAGAGCUUCCUCCUGCGAGCGCUGCGGCUGCAUCGCGCUUUGCCCUGCUCCGCUCGGCUGCUCUGCGAGCAGGGACCGCUGCUACCUGCCUGCUAACGUGAACCGGGGGAAUAGCCGUAGGGAAGCAAUGCRCUGCUUGAACACAGCCGCCAGCACGCCCGCCGACAGGUCGUUCUUUUUACAGUCUAUUUGGGAAACAACCAUUUGCAUGCGCUUCUCCCCAGCUCGGGGACGAACCCAUACCGCAGGGCCACCGCUUGGAGCAUGACACCCAGACCCGUGCCUGGGGACACCCGAAAUCCCCCGGCUGCCUGGAGAAGGAAGGAGGUUUGCAGCCAUUCCCCUCCCUGCCGCAGGCCCCRCUGGGGCUGCUUCCAAGCCACCUGCAUCCGCCAGCACCCGCCGGCYGCACUCCUGCUCCUUGGUAACAUAUCGCUUCUGUCUUCCUGAGACCACAGCAUGACAGGAACAAGAUCAGCCUCCAUUUGCCCCACACAUUCAAUUCAGAUUACGCUCAUGAUGUUAUAAUGGUGGCAGACAGGAUUAAAAAUGUUACAAGCUGCAAGGAGUCAUCUUUCCUGUUUGCACAUCUCCAUCGCCUUCGCCUUGGAGGUAUCAGUGGGGAAGACCAACACUGUGAUGGCUCUGAAUGGCUCCAAUGUCCUGCUGCCCUGCAUCUUCACCACCUGCAUAGGCUUCCAGGACCUGGUCUUCACAUGGUAUUUCAACUCGACAGAGAUGAUUUACCACGGCAAGAUCAAGAGCAAGGCCUCGGAGCCCUCCCUCGUGGGACGCAACCCCCGGGUCGAGUUCGUCGGCUCGACCACCGGGAAGGACAACAACAUCUCCAUAGUGCUGAGCGAAGUGGAUUUCAGCGAUGCCGGGAAAUACACGUGCCACGUCAAGAACCCCAAGGAGAAGAACGCGCAGCACAGCGCCUCCAUCUUCCUCACCGUCGUCCACAAGAUGGUGGAGACGGACAACACCUUGACGCUCAUCAUCGUAAGCGUCGUGGGGGGCGUCAUCGGCUUUCUCGUCUUCUUCAUGCUGGUCAAGAAAGUUAUCCUCUUCAUCAUCAAGAAGAUGCAGGACAGGAAGUGAGUAUGGACGCGUGCCGC